CCCCCCCGACGUGUCCACUCUUAUAAUUUAUAAAACUGCUCACUCUCUCAAAUUAAUUUUCAGGGAUCAUAUGGACAUUUGAUCCUAACGCUUGAUAAACAUGGGCAUUGUUCAAUUUGGCUGGAUGAUUCAAGUUAAAUAAUAAAACCAAAACUUUCAGCCCAGUAAUUUGAAGGAGGCAACAAGCUGAUGCAUCAACAAGCUCAUCCAAAAGGGUUCCCUCCAACAGAAGAGAAAGGCGACGGGGUAGCAGGGGCUGAGAAUCUACCAGCCAACCGUUGAUCCAUAUUUAUGGCACCAAAAGCACCUCCCUCAGUGCUAAAGCCUCCUACUCCCUGGGGCCUGGAAAGUGGCA
rnacentral:misc_RNA from 1 species